rnacentral:rRNA from 1 species
ACCUGAGAGGGUAAUCGGCCACAUUGGGACUGAGACACGGCCCAAACUCCUACGGGAGGCAGCAGUAGGGAAUCUUCCACAAUGGACGAAAGUCUGAUGGAGCAACGCCGCGUGAGUGAAGAAGGGUUUCGGCUCGUAAAACUCUGUUGUUAAAGAAGAACAUAUCUGAGAGUAACUGUUCAGGUAUUGACGGUAUUUAACCAGAAAGCCACGGCUAACUACGUGCCAGCAGCCGCGGUAAUACGUAGGUGGCAAGCGUUGUCCGGAUUUAUUGGGCGUAAAGCGAGCGCAGGCG